rnacentral:siRNA from 1 species
UUUCCGAAUUUCGAUGUCUAGUC